GUGCAAUGGCAUAAGCCAGCUUGACUGCGAGCGUGACGGCGCGAGCAGGUGCGAAAGCAGGUCAUAGUGAUCCGGUGGUUCUGAAUGGAAGGGCCAUCGCUCAACGGAUAAAAGGUACUCCGGGGAUAACAGGCUGAUACCGCCCAAGAGUUCAUAUCGACGGCGGUGUUUGGCACCUCGAUGUCGGCUCAUCACAUCCUGGGGCUGAAGUAGGUCCCAAGGGUAUGGCUGUUCGCCAUUUAAAGUGGUACGCGAGCUGGGUUUAGAACGUCGUGAGACAGUUCGGUCCCUAUCUGCCGUGGGCGCUGGAGAACUGAGGGGGGCUGCUCCUAGUACGAGAGGACCGGAGUGGACGCAUCACUGGUGUUCGGGUUGUCAUGCCAAUGGCACUGCCCGGUAGCUAAAUGCGGAAGAGAUAAGUGCUGAAAGCAUCUAAGCACGAAACUUGCCCCGAGAUGAGUUCUCCCUGACUCCUUGAGAGUCCUGAAGGAACGUUGAAGACGACGACGUUGAUAGGCCGGGUGUGUAAGCGCAGCGAUGCGUUGAGCUAACCGGUACUAAUGAACCGUGAGGCUUAACCUUACAACGCCGAAGGUGUUU
rnacentral:rRNA from 3 species